rnacentral:rRNA from 1 species
AACGAACGCUGGCGGCAUGCCUAACACAUGCAAGUCGAACGAGAUCUUCGGGUCUAGUGGCGCACGGGUGCGAAACGCGUGGGAAUCUGCCCUUUGGUUCGGAAUAACAGCUGGAAACGACUGCUAAUACCGGAUGAUGACGAAAGUCCAAAGAUUAAUCGCCAGAGGAUGAGCCCGCGUAGGAUUAGCUAGUUGGUGUAGUAAAGGCGCACCAAGGCGACGAUCCUUAGCUGGUCUGAGAGGAUGAUCAGCCACACUGGGACUGAGACACGGCCCAGACUCCUACGGGAGGCAGCAGUGGGGAAUAUUGGACAAUGGGCGAAAGCCUGAUCCAGCAAUGCCGCGUGAGUGAUGAAGGCCUUAGGGUUGUAAAGCUCUUUUACCCGGGAUGAUAAUGACAGUACCGGGAGAAUAAGCUCCGGCUAACUCCGUGCCAGCCGCCGCAGUAA